rnacentral:rRNA from 1 species
CGGGCUUGAAAGUUAGUGACGGCGGAUGAAAGUCUGCUUCCCUUCGGGGCACGAAACUAGGUGCUGCAUGGUUGUCGUCAGCUCGUGCCGUGAGGUGUCGGCUUAAGUGCCAUAACGAGCGCAACCCUUGCCGUUAGUUGCCAUCGGGUAAUGCCGGGAACUCUAGCGGGACUGCUACUGUAAGGUAGAGGAAGGUGGGGAUGACGUCAAAUCAGCACGGCCCUUACGUCCGGGGCGACACACGUGUUACAAUGGUGAGUACAGAGGGUUGCUACCCCGCGAGGGGAUGCUAAUCUCAUAAAACUCAUCUCAGUUCGGAUCGGAGUCUGCAACUCGACUCCGUGAAGCUGGAUUCGCUAGUAAUCGCGCAUCAGCCAUGGCGCGGUGAAUACGUUCCCGGGCC